AUACGGAGGGUGCAAGCGUUAAUCGGAAUUACUGGGCGUAAAGCGCGCGUAGGCGGCUCACCAAGUCUAGGGUGAAAUCUCCCGGCUCAACCGGGAUAGGUCUCUGGAUACUGGUGGGCUUGAGGGGAGCAGAGGAGAGUGGAAUUCCCGGUGUAGCGGUGAUAUGCGUAGAUAUCGGGAGGAACACCAGUGGCGAAGGCGGCUCUCUGGGCUCUCUCUGACGCUGAGGCGCGAAAGCGUGGGUAGCGAACCGGAUUAGAAACCCGAGUAGUCC
rnacentral:rRNA from 1 species